GAUGAACGCUAGCUACAGGCUUAACACAUGCAAGUCGAGGGGAAACGAUAUUGGAAGCUUGCUUCCGAUAGGCGUCGACCGGCGCACGGGUGAGUAACGCGUAUCCAACCUGCCCAUCACUUGGGAAUAACCUUGCGAAAGUAAGACUAAUGCCCAAUGACAUUUAUAGAAGGCAUCUGAAAUGAAUUAAAGAUUUAUCGGUGAUGGAUGGGGAUGCGUCUGAUUAGCUUGUUGGCGGGGUAACGGCCCACCAAGGCGACGAUCAGUAGGGGUUCUGAGAGGAAGGUCCCCCACAUUGGAACUGAGACACGGUCCAAACUCCUACGGGAGGCAGCAGUGAGGAAUAUUGGUCAAUGGGCGAGAGCCUGAACCAGCCAAGUAGCGUGCAGGAAGACGGCCCUAUGGGUUGUAAACUGCUUUUAUGUGGGAAUAAAGUCAGGGACGUGUCCCUGUUUGCAUGUACCACAGGAAUAAGGACUGGCUAAUUCCGUGCCAGCAGCCG
rnacentral:rRNA from 1 species